UACGGAGGGUGCAAGCGUUAUCCGGAUUUAUUGGGUUUAAAGGGUGCGUAGGUGGACUAAUAAGUCAGUGGUGAAAGCCCGCAGCUUAACUGCGGAACUGCCAUUGAUACUGUUAGUCUUGAGUACAGUUGAGGUGGGCGGAAUGUGUCAUGUAGCGGUGAAAUGCUUAGAUAUGACACAGAACACCGAUUGCGAAGGCAGCUCACUAAGCUGUAACUGACACUGAGGCACGAAAGUGUGGGUAGCAAACAGG
rnacentral:rRNA from 1 species